GGGAAGUUGGCUCAGUGGUAGAGCGCUUGCCUUGCAUGCCUGAGGCCCUGGGUUC
rfam:Dipodomys ordii contig_84975, whole genome shotgun sequence.